rnacentral:lncRNA from 1 species
CCAGGCAUGCAGCAUGGGUGCCCCUACAUGGAGACCCAGAGAGGCUCUUUGAUGAAGCUGUGAUGGUGAAGUCUGGAUUGCCCUGGAGACCACAGAUGUUGGAGAUGCCAGAGUCUUAGGACAUCUGCCGGGGAAAGCUGCUAACAAGGAGUGGAACCAGCCCAAGACAAAGAAGUGUGUUGCAAUCAACAAAGCUGAAAAGAGUUGGAGGCCAGAGAGAGGAAUGUGGUGGCUGCAAUGAAAGCUGCCCCCAGAGGCGCACAGGGACUGCAUUAUUUGGAAGGAUCAGGAGUGUUUCUUUGUUGCACUGACUUAACUAAGACAGUGUCUCUUCACAGCAACAGGACAACACCUAAGACCACAGGUUAGCUCUCUGUCCCCUCUAUGCUCUCUUCCUUGCAUCUACCUGCUUUCCUGCUUUCUGCCAGAGGCUGAGUUCAGCCAAGUGCAGCUGACAGUUCCUGAGCAAUGAAUCAAAAUGAACCUUUCCCUUAUAAAUUAAUCCCAGUUGUCUUGUCACAGCAAGAAAAACUGCCUGCUAUGGGCAGAGGUGGCUCCUUGAACGUGGGAUCUCUACUAGGCAAGGUGAUGGUGCUCCAGGAAGGUACCCAGGCUACCUCUGCAGGUUGCGACUACUAGCUUGUGCCACG